rnacentral:rRNA from 1 species
UGAAAGAUUGGAUGAAAUAUAAACUGUCUCUUAAUUAUAAAUAAAAUUUAAUUUUUUAAUUAAAAAGUUAAAAUAAAUUAAAAAGACGAGAAGACCCUAUAGAGUUUAAUAAAUAAAUUAAUUAAGAUUAUUUUUAAUUUUAAAAAUUAAAAUUAGUUUAUUUAUUUUAUUGGGGUGAUAGAAAAAUAAAUAAAACUUUUUUUAAAAAAAAACAUAUAUAAAUGAUUAAAUGAUCCAAUAUUAUUGAUUAUAAGAAAAAAUUACCUUAGGGAUAACAGCGUAAUUUUUUUUUUUAGUUCAUAUAAAAAAAAGAGUUUGCGACCUCGAUGUUGGAUUAAGAUAAAAUUUAAAUGUAGUCG